ACCCGUUGAUCCUGCGGGAGGUCGCUACUAUUAGGGUUCGACUAAGCCAUGCAAGUCAGAGGGGCUCUUCGGAGUCACAGGCAAGAUGCCCAGUAACACGUCGUUAAUCUAACCUUAGAUCUGGAAUAACCUUGGAAAACUGAGGCUAAAACCGGAUAUGGGAAAAUAAUUGGAAAAUGUUUUCCUUUAAAAGCAAUGUCUAAGGAUGAGACGGCGGCGGAUUAGGUUGUUGGCGGGGUAAUGGCCCACCAAGCCGACGAUCCGUAGGGGCCGUGAGAGCGGUAGCCCCGAGAAGGACACUGAGAUACUGGUCCUAGCCCUACGGGGUGCAGCAGGCGCGAAACCUUUACAAUGCACGAAAGUGUGAUAAGGGAACCCUAAGUGCUCAUGUUUUACAUGGGCUUUUGCCAAGAAUAAAUAUCUUGGCGAAUAAGUGGUGGGAAAGACUGGUGCCUGCAGCCGCGGUAACACCAGCGCCACAAGUAGGGACCACUACUAUUGGGCCUAAAGCGUCCGUAGCCGGCUGAAUAAAUUUCUUGUGAAAUUGUUGGGCUUAACCUAACAACGUGCAGGAAAAACUGUUCAGCUUGGAACCGGGAGAAGUCAGGAGUAUGCUGGGGGGAGCGGUAAAAUGUUAUAAUCCCCGGUAGACUACCAGUGGCGAAGGCGCCUGACUAGAACGGAUUCGACGGUGAGGGACGAAAGCCAGGGGAGCGAAGCGGAUUAGAUACCCGUGUAGUCCUGGCCGUAAACGCUGCGAGCUAGGUGUUGCAUAUUCUACAUGAAUAUGCAGUAUCGAAGCGAAGGUGAUAAGCUCGCCGCCUGGGAAGUAUGGUCGCAAGGCUGAAACUUAAAGGAAUUGGCGGGGGAGCACUACAAGGGGUGCGGCGUGCGGUUUAAUCUAAUUCAACGCAGAGAAUCUCACCAGAAGCGACGGCAGGAUGAAAGUCAGGCUAAAGGUCUUACUUGACGAGCCGAGAGGUAGUGCAUGGCCGCCGUCAGCUCGUGCUGUAAAGUGUCCUGUUAAGUCAGGCAACGAGCGAGACCUGCAUCUACAAUUGCUAACGGAUUCUUUAGAAUGGCUGAGCACAUUGUGGAGACUGCCCUGGAAACAGGGAGGAAGGUGCAGGCUACGGUAGGUCUGUAUGCUCCGAAUCUUCUGGGCUACACGCGCGCAACAAUGGUAAGGACAAUGGGAUGCGACUCCGAAAGGAGGAGCUAACCCUCGAAACCUUAUCCAAGUCUAGAUUGAGGAUUGUAACUCAUCCUCAUGACAAUGGAAUCCCUAGUAAUCAGAGUUUAUCAUACUCCGGUGAACAUGUCCCUGCUCCUUGCACACACCGCCCGUCAAGCCACCCGAGUAGGGUUUAGGUGAGAGGUAAAUUUUAUUUGCAUCGAACCUAAGCUCAGCGAGGAGGGCUAAGUCGUCACAAGGUA
rnacentral:rRNA from 1 species